UCUCUGGAUUCCUAACCAAUAUGUGCACACAGAAAUACAAUCAUUCAUCUAUAUGCAUGCACACACAUCUAUAUAAAUGUAUAUGUUUUUUUCCAUGUGUAGUCGGUAAUGAUAUUGGGAUGAUUUUCUUUGAUCACUUAACUGGAUCGAGUAAUCAAAUGGUGGAUAAAUUUAACACUAAUCAAAUGCUUUCGUGUUCAUGAUUUUCUUGAUGGAAUUUGUAACUUUUAUCAGCUUAAUGGAAAGUGAUUUGGGAAGAAAUAUGAUAUAUGUAUAUUUUUUUUUAUAAAUUUUCAGCAAUGUUUAGGCGUGGAAACAAAUUAUCAAGGUCAAUGAAUGGUAUUAGGGGUUUUCGGGUGCCUGUAUUGUUUACAGUUCUGAUUCUAUUUCUUGUGGCUUUGACACUUUUGUUUCGAAAUGAUGGGGAGAAACCCAAUUCUUCAGUUGGGCUAGUAAAGCAAAAGUGGAAUAGUUUUGAAUCAUUGGUUCAAUUUAACCCCAAUGUGGAGUUCAGGAAUGGGACAGAUGUUAUAUGGCAAAUACCCGAUUCACCGAAGGCAGUUCUGUUUUUAGCUCAUGGAUGUAGUGGCCGAGCUGUUAAUUUUUGGGACAAAUCUCCUAAAUGCCCAAACUGUAUUGGUUUGCCUGAAGAAAGGCUAAUUGUCCUUCAUGCUCUUGCUCGCAAGUUUGCAGUUCUUACCAUUUCGAGUGCGGGAACUUGCUGGUCAGUUGGGGAGGAAAGAAUGAUUGUAAAAGGAAUUAUCGAGUGGUGGGUUGAGAAAUACAAGCUUGAAAAACUUCCACUUGUGGCUUUGGGGGCCUCCUCUGGUGGGUACUUUGUUUCAAUGCUUGCCACUGAUAUGAGAUUUAGUAGCAUUACGAUAAUGAUCGCAGAAGGGUUAUUUCAUCAAAUGGAUAUCACAAAGGACUACCCACCUACACUAUUUGUGCACAUGCCCAAAGAUGAAGCUAGGAAGCAGCAGAUAGAUGCAAAUCUUAGGUUUUUGAAGGAAGAAGGCAUUGAUGUUGCAGAGGUUAAAUGCAUGGAGUUCCCGUUGUCACCAAAUUUCUUAGCUGACAGGAUCCCAGGUCUUGAUAAGACUAUUUCAAUGAAAUUAUUUGAUCUAUUCCGGGACAAGGGCUUUAUUGACAAAAAUGGUUAUAUGAGAGCUGAUGGGCGAGCAAUGCGUUUGAAAGCAGCUCUCAGGGAGAGUAAAAUUAUUCUGCCAGAUAUGCACCUAGUCCAUCACAUUCAAGAGGAACUGAAUCUUGCUUUUGCAUAUCAUGAAAUGACUAGCUUGCAGUCUGAGGAAAUUUUUGACUGGUUUGAAUCUCAUAUGAGCUGAUCAAUAAUCUAAUUUGUCAGCUUCGUCCUUUCUUCGGCCAUUGAUCAGCAUUAGUGACGGCACAUUGGUCAAAAUGACUUUGAACUAAGUAAUGUAACUUAAAUGAGUGCAUAACUAGUGCCCCCCAAACAACUCAAAUUGGCGGGAAGCUUAGUUGUAAAAAUUACAUCUCUAUAGCCCAUCUAAAAUCUUGUGAGUGAGUUGUGCAAAAGGGAAAAGGCAUGGCAUCUUCUCAAAUGAGUUAGAUAAUGGUGGAAGUGUGCACAAAUUUUGCAGAGUGUGUAGUGCAUGAAUCUUGAGUCUCAGGAGAACUCUUGUUUGAUCGAUUCGAAGUCCUUGGUCAUCGCCUCCGAGAAACGCCUCCUCUCUUUGGUCAAGUAUCCCCUCUCCCACCUCUCUCUAAAAACCCUAACAUGUAGAUUGCAAAAUUGAUUAUUUUGGU